rnacentral:misc_RNA from 1 species
GCCAAAGGGGGCACCCAUCAAUCCACUGCCACUGCUCUUACACAAAAACGAGGCUGGAGAUGUAGGGGAUGGCUGUACUUGUGGCCUUGAGUAACUGUCUUGACUUUUGAAACCAUUUAACAACCUGACAUCAAAAUGCUGUACUGGAUCACCACUUUGAGGGAAGUGAGGGACAAGACGAUUAUGCGCAUCCACCUGAUGGAAGGAGUUGAGAUCCUCGUUACGAGAUCUGGUGUUUGCCUGGUCAAUCAUGGAAUUCGAGUGCGAUGAUCUUUUCAGUGGGGAAUCUUCAUCUUUGUUGAUGACCAUUAAGUCCUUCCCCAUCAGCCUGAGAACUGGAUUAGAAGCAGAUGGACUAAAAGACUCGGAUUCACGAGUUGGGAGCUUGAACUCAGAAUCAGCAGAAAUACCAAAUUGAGUAUGUGCCGUGGCCGAUGAUUUAGUGGGGUCAUUUGUUUCAGGUCCUGAACUCGAGUCACUUAGAGAAAAUGAGUUGCUCUUCAAUAUGAUAUUAUUACAUCUUGUGAGUGAAUCACGGCUCAACUGAUUCUCACUCGCAGGAAAAGGGGAAAGGGCGAUGGCUCGUCGCUGUAACAGCUGUGACUCUUCACGAUUCACAGCAAACCCUUGAGAUGUUCCUCCUUCUUUCCUGACACAA